GCAAAUCAGGUGAGAAGAAGAUUUGGGUCAAAAGUUCAUUUCUCUCCCUCUCGGGCCACCAAGGAGUUCUUUCUGGUGGUCUCCUUUUCUUCGGCAUCCUUUCCUCUCACGAAUGAUUCUGUUGGGGUUGCUCUACAAUGCUGUCUUGGAGGGAUUUGCUCGGGCUUCAAUGUGAUUUCUAUUACCUCUCGAUCAUUUCAUUUUUCUGUGGACAACAACAAAGUGGGAUAUUUCAUCUAUGGCCUUAAGAAUCAUGUUUGGCCUGACUUUGUGUGUCAUUUCCAUCUGUUCAAUGGUAGUUUUGCCAAGUUCUAUUCUGGUUCCCAUUGGCAUGCUGAUCAAGAGUUGGUUGAGAUCAUGGACCGUAAGCCUUUAUGUUGGGUAACAUAG
rnacentral:rRNA from 1 species